GUUGCAAUGAAGAAUAUGGAAUGAGAUGAGAUCACAGCAUCAGUCUGUCCUUUGUAGAUCUGGACAAUGAUCACAGAGCCAGAUUGGAUUAGUGAAACCUAUUUACCAGAAGUUCAGAGCAGUUGCAUGAAGCUGAAAGGCAGUCAGUAAGGGAGAGGUGGAAAAUGCACCAGAUUUACAGCUGCAGCGAUGAAAAUUUAGAAGUUUUCACCACUGUGAUUUCUUCCAAAUCAUGUAGUCCUGCCCGAAGACGAGCCAAAGCUACGCAGCACAUCCUAACUAAGAGUGUAAGAAAAAUCUCCUUUCCUCUCCAUAUUUUAUUUUUUUUACAUUCUAGUUGGUCACUCAUACCCUUAAAAGUGCUGUGGGUGAAUGGGAAGCAGAUCUUCCAGGCUAAAGAAGUGCAUCUGUGUCUGAUGGAGGGAGUGGGGUGGGAAACAGGAGUUUCUGUAAAGCUGCAGUUUAUUUACAGAAG
rnacentral:lncRNA from 12 species